AGUGAACGCUGGCGGUAGGCCUAACACAUGCAAGUCGAACGGCAGCACAGUAAGAGCUUGCUCUUACGGGUGGCGAGUGGCGGACAGGUGAGGAAUACAUCGGAAUCUACUUUUUCGUGGGGGAUAACGUAGGGAAACUUACGCUAAUACCGCAUACGACCUACGGGUGAAAGCAGGGGAUCUUCGGACCUUGCGCGAUUGAAUGAGCCGAUGUCGGAUUAGCUAGUUGGUGGGGUAAAGGCCCACCAAGGCGACGAUCCGUAGCUGGUCUGAGAGGAUGAUCAGCCACACUGGAACUGAGACACGGUCCAGACUCCUACGGGAGGCAGCAGUGGGGAAUAUUGGACAAUGGGCGCAAGCCUGAUCCAGCCAUACCGCGUGGGUGAAGAAGGCCUUCGGGUUGUAAAGCCCUUUUGUUGGGAAAGAAAAGCAGCAGGUUAAUACCCCGCUGUUCUGACGGUACCCAAAGAAUAAGCACCGGCUAACUUCGUG
rnacentral:rRNA from 1 species